UGCUGUGGAAAUUUCCACGGCCCAUCCACCCAGCACCAGCGCUGGGGCUCCUGACAGCAGGGGGUUACGAAAGAGACUGGAGAUGCAAGACAGGUCCCAGCUCAAGAGGAGCUCGGCCCCUAGAGAAGACGCCCAGGGACGCGUGCCAAGAAAGCAAGUGAACAAGCAGGUUUGAGCAGGCAGGAAAAAGCAUCUUGACUUGAAGAAAGAUCAAUUCAGAUGAUCCACUUUGAAGGAAACAGAGGAAAGAGAUUGAAGAAAAAUGAACCCAGCCCCAGAAAUCUGUGGGAUAUCAUCCAACAUAUCAACAUACCAACAUACAUGUUACAGGAGUCCCACAAGGAGAGGAGAGAGAGGAAAGAGUGCACUAAAGAAUAUUUGAGGGGCACUUGGGUGCAUCAGUCAGAAACCAUGGAGGCCAGAAGACUAUGGCAUGAUCUGUUUAAAGCACUGGAGGAAAGAAACCCUUUCAACUAAACAUUUUAUAACCAGCAAAACUAUCCUUUAAAAAUGAAGGACAGAUCGACUUUGCUAGAUGGGGGU